rnacentral:rRNA from 1 species
UACAGAGGAGCCAAGCGUUGUCCGGAUUGACUGGGCGUAAAGCGCACGCAGGCGGGGGCGCGCGUGGGGUGGGAAAUCUGGCCGCUUAACGGCCAGGCGCCAUCCCAUACGGCGCGUCUGGAGCCUUGCAGAGGUCGGUGGAAUUGCCGGUGUAGUGGUGAAAUGCGUAGAGAUCGGCAGGAACACCCAGGGGGAAACCAGCCGACUGGGCAAGUGCCGACGCUGAGGUGCGAGAGCGUGGGGAGCGAACCGG